GCCGGGCAUGAUGGCAAGUGCCUGUAAUCCCAGCUACUUGGGAGGCUGAGGCGGGAGAAUCGCUUGAACCCGGGAGGCGGAGGUUGUAGUGAGCCAAGAUCACGCCACUGCAUUCCCGCCUGGGUGACAGAGCGAGACUCAGUCUCAA
ensembl:misc_RNA Metazoa_SRP Metazoan signal recognition particle RNA